AGUGGGGCAGAGGAUAAGCAGGCUGGAAGAGCCGACUCCUACGGCUGCGAUCCAAGAGGUGCCUGCAACAGUUGCCCCCCGACUUCUGUCGCCCCCAUGGAGGCAAACAAGUCUGGAACAGGGAAUGGGGGUCUGGGAGAGAAGAUGAAAAGACUGAGGAUCAGAGAGGUGAGCAGUAGCUUUCCCAAAGGCCCAGAGCCAAGAAGCGUUGAAGCUUAAAAGCACGCCGCGGCAGGGAAGAUCAAGCAAGCCCUGCGCCUAUCUGCAGGCCGGAUCUCUGGAUCUCCCCAGCCUCCAGAUCUCAGUGUGGCUCUCUCUGGAGACAAAAGCUAAGACUCAACCCACAGGCAACACUCAACACAGAGAUCCAGCUCAGAAAAAAAGGAGCUGACCAGGGAGGAAUGGAGAGGCCAAGACACAUAAUGAAGACUAAGAAAAGGAAGAAAGAUGAUGCUGGGGCUGGAGCCAAAGGGAGAGGAAGAGGAAAGGAAGGAAAGCCAGGGGCAGAGACCUGGCAGGGCAGCGUGAGCCCAACAACCACGGGGUGGGGGUGGGGCGCGCAUCAAGAUUUCUAACAAGCGCAGCUGAAAACACCCAGGGCCGUUCUCUGAGGCCUUCUCUCUGCCUACCAGCCCUCACCAGUGCUUCGAAGAGCCCUGAGGAACGUCUCUCUAUUUGAAGUCAGAGCCGAGUGCCUGCUCUCGGCACCUGGGGCUCCAUGCUUACCAGGAUGGUGGGUACUUGACCUUCAUUUGCUGUGGGACUGUCAGGGAUUCCAGGGACCCACUGGUCCCCGAACUGGCUCAGAGAUGCAAGCCAUUUUUACCUCCUACACAUCUAUAAUCCCCACCCCAUGGCUGACAAAUAUUCCCAGUCCACAGCUGUCUCCACCCACCCAGUGACAGAGCACAGGCAGCCAAAAGGAUCAAGCAAUCUCUUGCCACCUCCCAGCACCCCAGAAUGCUAAACAGACCCUCACAUCUGGACUCCACAUCCAGCGAGGAGUGCCCCUGCCCACCACCCAGAUCACACAGCUGCCAGUUACAGACCACCCUAUAGGUCCCACCACACGGCCAUAGCCCACCAGCAUCCCAGAGCUGCCUCUACACUAAAGCUCUGUCCCAGCCCAGCCAUCCUUCAAGCCACAUCUGGAAUAGCACACACCCUAUUCCACUAGCCAAAGCCCCCAGGGGUGUAAUUCAGAAGGAGGCAGACUGGGCCUGGGGCAUGUGGACAAGUCCCUGACACCACGCCCUGGCUUCUCCGGCUUGUCUGAAGAACCUGAACUGCCCUUAAGGCCUGCGCCUCCCAUCCCAGGGCAGCCCCCCCGCCAUACCUACACUCUUGGCCAUGGGAGAAUGUCCUCAUGUGCGGCUAAACAUCCUCCUCAUGCAGCCUUGAAUUCUGUUCCUUCCACGUCACCUCACCAGACCCAGGAUGAAAGCCGCUCACCUAGAGCAAAGCUUCUGCUUCCGAGGCAUUCAGGACUCCCCUCAGGGUGUGUGAGCACCCUGGGGCACAUGCCUGUUGCUUAUGUCUGGGUUACCUCUGUGACCCUGGGACCGCUCCACAUUGAAGGCCGUUGUGUCUUUUUGUGGAAGGAUGGAAGGACAGAAGGGAAGGAGAGACAAAGUGGUACCACAGCCCUGUUCUUGCCCUGGCACUUGGAGGGCACCAGAUACCCAGGGGACUGUAGCUGGCUGUGAGGACUCUAAGGCCAGGCCAGCAUACACAGUCCCCAAUAGUGAGUAGGAGCCCAGUCAGUCCACACCCCUUCCCAUCCACUCGAAAUGUAACUUAGCCCUCGGCUUCUCCUUACCUUUCAGGAGUUCUCUCCUUACCCCCAAAGACUUCCUGAGGACCCCCUAGGCCAGCCAGCCUAUCCCUCUCUCCCCUAACCCAGCAUCCUGCAGUCCCCUGGUUCAGAUUGGUGGUGUCUGUGCCUGAACCCCCACGAGCCUGAAAGCCCCUCAAAGGCCACAUGGGUCUCCCGCCUCUCUGCAUCUCCAGAUGGUGGCACGAGGCCUAGCACACAAGGAAUCCCAGAAAAUGUUGGCUGAAGGAAUAAAUGGAUGGAUCUAGGUU
rnacentral:lncRNA from 1 species